rnacentral:misc_RNA from 1 species
GAUGAAGAACGCCGCGAAAUGCGAUACGUAAUGUGAAUUGCAGAAUUCAGUGAAUCAUCGAAUCUUUGAACGCAUAUUGCGCUCUUUGGUAUUCCGAAGAGCAUGCUUGUUUGAGUAUCAGUAAACACCUCAACCUCUUCUUGAUUUUUCAAAAGGAGGGUGGACUUGAGCUAUCCCAACAACCUUUACCGGUCGGCGGGCGGCUUGAAAUGCAGGUGCAGCUGGACUUUUAUCUGAGCUAAAAGCAUAUCUAUUUAGUCCUCGUCAAACAGGAUUAUUACUUUUGCUGCAGCUAACAUAAAGGAUAAUUGUCCUCUUUGCUGACUGAUGCAGGAUUUUACGACACUUUAUGUGUUGUUCAACUCGAUCUCAAAUCAAGUAAGACUACCCGCUGAACUUAAGCAUAUCAAUAAGCGGAGGA